AGACCGAGCCACCAGAUGCCCCUGUUAUUGUUGUUUUUAAAUGCAUAUGUUAACAAAAGUUGUCUGUUUUAAUUUCUGUUAUGGUGGCUCGAUAGGCUAUAAGUGUAUAAAGGACUCCCAGGCCCCCCCCUCCCCGCCCAAUUUGGGAACCACAGAUCUAGAGCCUAGAUCUAGAGAUCAGAUCUCUACCCUCAUCUUACAUCAUUCCUAGUAUUCUCUGACCUCCCUCCUUCUUUCCACGACUUCCAUAGUUCCUCCAGCCUGACUCCCUUCUGCUCAUGCUCAGGGCCUUUGCACAUGCAGUUUCUUGUGCCUAAAAUGUAUUUGUUCCCCCUUCGCCGAUAUUCUUUCAUUCAAUCUCUACUCUCUUGCCAUUACAGCUCAGGGAAAGCCUUCUCUUUCCUUGGGUCCAUCACAUGCGUUCUGAUCCCCUCCCUUCCAGAGGCUCCAUGUUAAUAUAUUUCAUACCUGUUCUUCCACUCUCCCUUCAGAUUUAGAUUCUUAUUAUGUCCUUCCUUUAUCAUUUCCCACCUCCUCUGCUGUCUGUUGUGUCAUAUUAAUCACCACCUGUCUGAUACAAGACAGGAAAAACUAACCGACAUUUUCAAUGCUAAGGGAGCCACUUGAUCAAUCUUUUCCUUGAGAUUUCAUACAUUUUUAAGAGGGUUCUCACAUACCUCUUUACACACUCCAGUGUAAUUUACUCUGUGGUUUUUUUUGUGUUUUUUUUUUUUUUUUUCAGCUCAGGAAGCAAAGCAUCUGCAUUUUGUCAUUAAUGAAGCUGCUUUUCCUGUCUCUUGUACGUGGAAAUCUCUGAAGUGUGUGCUUAUUUUUUGUAUCUGCCAAACUUCCCAUUUUAAUGGGACCUCAUCUUUUUACUGAGCUCCAACCCCUUGAUGUGUAAACUCAGACCUCACCUAUCCUCAGGAUCAGUGGGAAUUAGCCUUAUUAUUCGAUUUUUCUUUGCAAAAAAAAACUGGGUUAUCUAGAUCUAUCAGCCUGCCAUACUACUAUGAAAGGUUUGACGAGAUUUUCUUUUUGAACUGUAAAGAAAGCCUUUGUAAUAGCACAGACUAUCUGUGCCGUCAGCGAGGGGGUCUCGGAGAGAAGCUUCUCCUGGCCGCUAAUAAUCCCAGGCAAGCUUCUUUUCCUCUCUGGACCUGGUUUUCCCAUUUGUGAUAUGAAUGGGGUGGGUGUUCACUUAAGCUCAUCCUGCCUUACGACUCCGUAAUCCAAAGGCAUCCCGAGAGCCUGGGAUGUACCCAGACUGUGGCUGUUAACGAGGAGGGUACAGAUGCAGGAGAAAACGAGGCUGCAUCCGCAGAAGGGCACAGUGCUCUCGAAAACCAAAUAUUUAGCAUUAGGUGUAAUGUGAAAACAUUAGAUGUAAUACGGGAUGAUAUGUGUUUGUGAUAUACAUAUACACAUAAAUAUGUCUAUACGAUUUUUAUAUACCUCCCCCCUCCCUUUACCAGGCCCCCUGCUGCACCCUGGCACUUGAUGGAAGCAGAUGAGGAGAGUGUAUAAAGGUCAAGUCUCAGGAACUCCUAGGCUUGUUAUGGAGACAAAUAGAAUAUGCAGCCUCUAAAGCUCAACAUGCAGGGCAUGUGCGGUCAGCAAGGACGUACCGGGCGCCCUCAGAAGGUGCUGACUUCACUGAGAAAAGUUGUAAAGGGGCGACGAGAGAAGAGCUGGGGUUGGUACCAAAAUGUCUUUGCCGAGCGCGUGGUGGGACCAGUGGAACUCUCUAGAAGACAGGCGGCUAGCCUGAGGGGCGAGCGGGGUGGCCAGCGUGACCAGAAGGAUCCCCGAGGAGGGUCCUCGGCAGGGUUUCAAGGCCUAUGUCCAACGUCCACCAAGUUGUGUACAGUUCCGGGGCGUUUUCCUUCUGUCCGAAGCCUAAGGCUUGAACAUUAUCGGCUGGAAAGACAGGAGUGAGACGGGAGGGGAGGACGGAACUUGAGAACAUAUUCCUCCCCUUCAACCAGAUCUAGUAAUAGAACAGCUAAUUUUAACCUCCCAGCCACUUAGCUCGCUCUGUCUUCUAUCUGGGAGAGUUUGCGUGCCCGCAAGGGGCUCAGAGGAUGCGCGUGGCCUGGUGCCAUUAGCACGUGCUCUCUGCCCCGAGCGCAUUAGAUCAUUACUGAACGGGGCUCGGGCGUUUGACAAAUGGGGCAGCUGCCGCUCAGGCAAUUUCCUAUUGAAUGGCCGAGCCAGGUGGAGCAGGAAGAUAGCCGGCUUUACCGAACAGGGCAGGCUAAUGCUAAUCAUUAGGUCUUUGAACCUUGCCAUGUUACCAAUUAAUGGUAGAAUAAAGUGAAACGAGUAAUUAGAUGGAUUCCAACCCACCGGCUGUGCUUCCCUGCUUGAGUGCCUCCCGUUUCCUUACCAAUUCAAUUACUAAGAAGAAGGGCAGUGUGGGAUCUUAGUACUUAAAACACGGGUGACUGCUGUCUACCAGAAACAUUCAGGGGGCACUUACUGUAUGCUAGAGUCUGUGCUAAGAAACCCGCGUUUAAACAUGCAUCCUCACAACCGCCCUGCGAGGUGUGGAUAGUGUAUCGACGCCAUUGUAAGGGUGCCAAGGUCAAAGCGUAGAGAAGUAUAGGGACCACCAGGACCACCUGAUUGCGUGGCAGACCUGGGAUUCAGACCCAGGUCUGCCGACACCAGAGUCCAAGCCCUAACUUGCUCCUUACGGCCGACGCUACACCAGACACUGGCGGUGGUGGCUUACGUGCCCACAUCUCCUUUAAUCCCCGUGCUGACCUCGAGGCCGGCGGCAGUGUUCAUUUUGGAUUCAUCCGUGUGGGACCUGAGGCGAGAGCGGCCAGCUGCUUGCUGGAGCCACUCAGGGAGUCCCGGGCUGCGGCCAACACUGACGCCCUCUCCACUCCCUGGCGCUUCUAGGUUUUAUCCACAAUGGGGUGCAGGGCCUGGGGCGCUGGGGGCUGGGGCGUGCACAUCUUGGUGCACCCGUGUGAUCUGGAGAAUUGGGAACUCGGUCCUUCUGAUCUUGGGCCCACGACUCUGCCACUGCCAGCUAAGGUGACCCCUGGGUGGGUCAUGUCCCCUCGAGGGCUAGCAUUCCCUGGUGGCUGAUUGAUACGGGAUUGAGUUGAAUUCAUCACCAGCCAUAAACUUUAUCGUUGAGUGGCUUGUCUUGAGAUAUGGGACACGGUUUUAGUAAUUGUGUAACUGAGAAGGUGAACCGAUUCAUAUCUGUACCUUCCCCAGACUUUGGGCUACUCCCUUUAGCCAUCGAACUAUUUGCGUAAGACCUUCUAGAGGCCAAGUGCCCUGAAGAACUGAACGCCUUCAUCGCCUCGAGCCCAGAUAUUGUGUGUUUUACUCGUUAAUCUGCAAGUCACAGGAACACAGUACAUGGGGAGUUUCAUCCUGGUCCAUCUAGAGAACAUUGCAUAUUUCUCUCUGGCCUCUUUCUGUAGUCUGAGUUCGGUUCCCUGGACCUCAGUUUUCUCGGAUGGUGGAAUCAGACUGGGUCGUCUUCAAGCGACUCUUCCAGGACUCAAAUUCUGUGAUUUUCCAUUUACUGACCCCUCAUUGCCUCUCAUUUGUGGAAUACAGUGGUCCCUCUAAGUGAGUAUCUUUUCAAAAGAUAAGCAUUUAUUUCACUAAUCCAUGAAGCUUCACAGUUUAGUCACUUAAAUUGGAGAUUUUUUUCUAAAGCUUACAUAUAUUUGUUUUCUUAAUACAGUAGAUAUUAAACUUUUUCUUGAUAAGUUAGGUUUAUCAUUUUUAAUGUCAAACCAUAGGACCUUAGUGCCCCAAAGGGCUGUGAUCCACCCCGCCACCCCCUUAGUCUAUAAAUGCCCUAAGGAGCAAAGUGGCCUGUCAGGGGUGACACAGCUCAAGAGGGACAGAGUGUGGGUCCUUAAAACCCGCUCACACUUCCGGACCAGUGCACCCUCUUUCUUUUCUGCUGUGAUGUAAUGAAUUGUUGUCCUACAGACAUCGCAUGUAUUCCCAGCACCCUGUACAGGAACCAGCACCCAGAGAGUACUAAUUACUAUUCAAGGAAUGAAUGGGUGACCUCGUAUCCCCAUAAGUGGCUCUGCUUUGUAACACUGGGAUUGGACGUGAACAUUUUGUCCACCCCUUCCCUGUACAUUUUUCACACACACUGUGUGGCUGGAAGAGAAGCUGCAAAUAAAUGCCCCCUGGCUCUCCUAAAGUAAAAUGCAUGAAUUUCAUGGAAACUCUCUGCAGUUCUGGGGGCUUUGGGGCUCCCUUCGUGUUUGCAAGCUAUGUUUUGUUAGCUGAAAUUGUCUGCAACUGCAUAUUCUACUUAAAAUCACAGGGGUUGUCUCUGAUAGACUUAAGAUUAUUUUUUUGUCCAAAUGAGAAGAAAUAAGUCAUUUUAUACUAGUGUGGUAAAUGUAUUUUUUGUGUGUACAUAAAAUUGAAUAAAAGGUUUUAAGACAAUCUAUCAUGACUAAAGCAAUAGCAUCAAUUUUUCUAGAAGCAGUAGCCCUUACCGAGUAAGGGCUAAUUGAGAGGUUGUUUUGAAACAGAAUUCUUGAUCUUUCUUUUUUUCUUUUUAAUGUUUAUUUAUUUUUGAGAAAGAGAGAGAGACAGAGCACAAG